GAUAGUCCUCCCUUNNCACACCGCCGCGUACNCCGUUGAAGGCUAGGAGCCCUCGGAUCGAGUUCGAGCUGGCANCAGUUCUGUUUCUGAGAGUGUCAAACUGGUCAUUAGAGAAGUAAAGUCGAACCAAGGUUUCCGUAGGUGACCUGCGGAAGGAUCAUUA
rnacentral:rRNA from 1 species